rnacentral:rRNA from 1 species
UCUCCUGGAAACGGGUGGUAAUGCCGGAUGCUCCAGUUGAUCGCAUGGUCUUCUGGGAAAGCUUUCGCGGUAUGGGAUGGGGUCGCGUCCUAUCAGCUUGACGGCGGGGUAACGGCCCACCGUGGCUUCGACGGGUAGCCGGCCUGAGAGGGCGACCGGCCACAUUGGGACUGAGAUACGGCCCAGACUCCUACGGGAGGCAGCAGUGGGGAAUAUUGCACAAUGGGCGCAAGCCUGAUGCAGCGACGCCGCGUGAGGGAUGGAGGCCUUCGGGUUGUAAACCUCUUUUAUCGGGGAGCAAGCGAGAGUGAGUUUACCCGUUGAAUAAGCACCGGCUAACUACGUGCCAGCAGCCGCGGUAAUACGUAGGGUGCAAGCGUUAUCCGGAAUUAUUGGGCGUAAAGGGCUCGUAGGCGGUUCGUCGCGUCCGGUGUGAAAGUCCAUCGCUUAACGGUGGAUCCGCGCCGGGUACGGGCGGGCUUGAGUGCGGUAGGGGAGACU